rnacentral:rRNA from 1 species
GCAAGUCGAACGGUAACAUUUCUAGCUUGCUAGAAGAUGACGAGUGGCGGACGGGUGAGUAAUGCUUGGGAACUUGCCUUUGCGAGGGGGAUAACAGUUGGAAACGACUGCUAAUACCGCAUAAUGUCUUCGGACCAAACGGGGCUUCGGCUCCGGCGCAAAGAGAGGCCCAAGUGAGAUUAGCUAGUUGGUAAGGUAACGGCUUACCAAGGCGACGAUCUCUAGCUGUUCUGAGAGGAAGAUCAGCCACACUGGGACUGAGACACGGCCCAAACUCCUACGGGAGGCAGCAGUAGGGAAUAUUGCACAAUGGAGGAAACUCUGAUGCAGCGAUGCCGCGUGAGUGAAGAAGGCCCUUGGGUUGUAAAGCUCUUUCGUCGGGGAAGAAAAUGACUGUACCCGAAUAAGAAGGUCCGGCUAACUUCGUGCCAGCAGCCGCGGUAAUACGAAGGGACCUAGCGUAGUUCGGAAUUACUGGGCUUAAAGAGUUCGUAGGUGGUUAAAAAAGUUGGUUGUGAAAUCCCGGAGCUUAACUCCGGAACUGCAAUCAAAACUUUUUAGCUAGAGUAUGAUAGAGGAAAGCAGAAUUUCUAGUGUAGAGGUGAAAUUCGUAGAUAUUAGAAAGAAUACCAAUUGCGAAGGCAGCUUUCUGGAUCAUUACUGACACUGAGGAACGAAAGCAUGGGUAGCGAAGAGGAUUAGAUACCCUCGUAGUCCAUGCCGUAAACGAUGUGUGUUAGACGUUGGAAAUUAAUUUUUAGUGUCGCAGCGAAAGCAAUAAAUACACCGCCUGGGGAGUACGACCGCAAGGUUAAAACUCAAAUGAAUUGACGGGGACCCGCACAAGUAGUGAGCAUGUGUUUAACUUCGAAGAUACGCGCAGAACCUUACCAACACUUGACAUGUUCGUCGCGACUCUAAGAGAUUAGAGUUUUCGGUUUGCCGGACGAAACACAGCUGCUGCAUGCUGUCGUCAGCUCGUGUCGUGAGAUGUGGAUAGUCCCGCACGAGCGCAGCCUCACUUUAGUGCAUCAUUAGUGGUACUCUGAAGACUGCAAGUGAUAGCUGAAGGAGUGGGAUGACGUCAGUCUCAUGCGUUAUGUGGUGACUACCACGUGCUACAUGCAUGCAAUAGAGCCAGAUGCACGUCGAGCCAGAUCCUAAAAAAUGCUCG